ensembl:lncRNA CFAP100-DT CFAP100 divergent transcript
GACCCCAGUGCUGGCUAGGGUUGCAAAGCCACUGCUCUACGGAGCGAGCGAGAUCCAUCAUAGUGGGACAAGCGAGAGGAUGAGGCCAUACAGACCAGGGUACUGUUCCACGCACUUGACACCAAUCCACCCAUUUCACCUGCAUGAUCACCCUGCCUUUGCAUGAGUUGCCGGUGUGGACAGAGCAGGGACACAGUGAGACAGCGGAUUCCAGCUUUGCUCUUACCUAGAACACACUGCCUCUCACCAGGAAUCGUCCUUCCAUUUUAUGCAGUUAUCCCAGACAAUGAUGCACAAGCUUUGGGAAAAAAACCCCACAAGUCCAAAGGUGUACUUCAUAAUAAAGGCAAGUUAUCUGUC